rnacentral:lncRNA from 1 species
UCUCUCCCACUAAUAGUUAUAAUACUUAGAUUAGUAAUAAUGUAACUAACAUAAUUAAUCAUGUUUAGCUUAAAUAUAUUAUAAUUAUAAUAUGAAUAUUUAAAUGGAUUUAAUCAUCUUCUUUCCACUAUCUCAUAAGAAACAAUGGUUAAAUAACCAUUAAAUCUCCUGAUUAAUUACUAUUUAAGUCUUUAAUGCAUUUUUUAAAUUAAAAAUUCAAUAGCGAUUGCACUUUUAUAAUUUAAUCAUUAAAUUAUAAUAAAUGAUUUUCUCAAUUGUACAGGCCCAAAUUUUCCCGGGCCCAUACACAUACAAAACCAAAAAACAAAAACAAAUAAUAAUACAGUCCAAUACAAAAUUACAGCCCAAAUUAAAAAACCUAAACAGACCCAAAAAUAAACCACCAAACCCUAAGCCCAAAAGGGCCCAAAACCUUAACAUUUUUGGCAGAAAAAAUCCCUACUGCUGCCGCCUCCAACAGCCCUAGCCACACACGGCCUUCACCUCCACGCGCGCCGCUCCGCCAAGUUCGCCCCACGUCGCCAUGCCUGCGGAAAAAACGCAGCAAAAUAGAGGUUUUACUGUAUUUUCAGGUAUAAAAACCCAAAUAAACCAUUGUAUUGGGGGAAUACAGUACAGAUAUAGAGAAAAUAGAGAGCAGAAUCCGAAUUUUUCAUAUACAAAACAGUUUUUCAAUUAAAUGAGAACAAUUUUUAUUCUUUUGGAAAGGUGAUUUGCGGCUUUGAUUUUACUAUUUAAGUUUUUUUUUUUACAACAAAAGAAAAAAGAAAGCAAAGAGGGUCGAAGGUACUUGGUUGUGGCUCCUCCGGCCGCCGUUAUUCGUGAUCGAGGCGGAUUAGCAGCAGGGGCCGAUCCAUUUGUGUCCUAACAGAGUGAAAAAGGAAGAAAACCUUCAGAGUGAAAAAGGAAGAAAACCUUUCUUUUUUCUUUUUGAUUUGUAGCAGACGACAUUUGGGGGGGGGGGGGGGGGGAGGGGGAAGGCUUUUAUUUUUUAUGCAAACCAAACGGCGCCUUUUGGAAUAAGGGGGGAUCUGCGCCCUUUUCACCUUAAUUGGUUGAUUUU